rnacentral:lncRNA from 10 species
AUGAGCAGGCAUACAUGGAGGCAGAACGCAGGCACGCCACGGGCCUGAAGCAGGGCUGCCACACGCCACCAUUCGACAACUCAAGGGCACCAUUCAUUCAUGCAGGCUGUCCUGACAAAAUGCCAAGUUAGCAAAAUAAGAUCACACAGUCACUCUUCAUCACAGCUGGAGAAUCUGAAUUUACGAGUAUCUUGCAUCAAAACGCUGCCUCAGAGAGAACAGAAAGUGAAAAUACAGAUUCCUGAAAUCAUACAAUAAGAGAAAACCAUGCGACUACUACAAUGCUCCUUAUGGUAUUUGGAUUCCUAGUACAAUGCUUUUUGAUCAGACUCCGUUUGCAGCUUUUAUAUUCAUAGAGCCUCCACAUCUAGGUGGGACAAUCUAACUACACUGUCUUCUUGAGUACAUGCUGAAACACAUACCUACUGAAAUACAUUUUACUUGCUAUAAAUUAUUUUAAUUUAUUUCUCCUUGAUAUUUUUGCUAGACAUUCUAUCAAUUUCUAAAUCGUGAGUAGACAGGUUGUAAGUCUAUGAUUUUCAUUUUCUGACAGUAAAUGGGGCAUAGGAUUGGACAGUUAAGAAGAUGGGUGCACCAAGCAAGUGGUAUGCAGUAAUUAAGGUAAAUACUGGGUUUUGAGAACAAUCACCAAAAAUCCAAUCUCUCAUGCCCAUAUCCCUCCAUUUCCACUUGCAGGGAUGAAACACAAAUGUUUCCUGUACAAACUUUCAGCAAGUUAACGGUCACCUUCAUCAUUUUUCUAAGCUUUUUAGUCUAAUUACCAAAAUAGAGAAGAAGGCUGGGAUUCAGGGUGGAGGCCUUGCUGGAAAUAAAGAAAUGUGCAUCUGGCCAAGCUAUGCCUGGUCCUCUCUCUCAGGAAAGUAAGUCAGGGAAGGGGAGCAGGAAGGUGACGAUGGGCACCGCCAACAUCCCGACCUUCCACAUCACUGGCAGGGAGGGGGUGAAGCAUGGGGCAUGGACAGACCACCCAAGUGGCAGACAGGAGCCUUGGGCUCUAAUACUGGCCACAUUGCCUUCUGAUGGCGUAGAUGAACCAUGUAACCUUGACUUAAAUUUUCAACUUGUGAUAUAUGGAGAGUAAAAUCUGCCCUCCUUCUUUCAGGGGGUUUUUCUGAAGAAAAAAACCUGGCCAGGCACGGUGGCCCACGCCUGUAAUCCCAGCACUUAGGGAGGCCGAGGUAGGCAGAUCACCUGAAGUCAGGAGUUCAAGACCAGCCGGGCCAACAUAAGAGAAACCCCAUCUCUAUACUAAAAAUUAAAAAAAAAAUUAGCCGGGCGUGGUGGUGAGCACCUGUAAUCCCAGCUACUCGGAAGGCUGAGGCAAGAGAAUUGCUUGAACCCAGAAGUCAGAGGUUGCAGUGAGUGGAGAUCCUGCCACUGCACUCCAGCCUGGGCAACAGAGCGGUACUCCAUCUCAAAAACAAAAAAAACCUAAACAUCUUUGGAUGUACCUGUCAACUAUAAAUUCCUAUUCAAAUGUAAGAGACUGACGCUUAUUUAGUGUAAACUAAUAUUACCACUUUUUAAAUAUAAAAAAUACACAGCAAUACAAAUUCCCAAAAAAUGUUAACAGAUGAAGGUAUCUUAAAAUGUGACAAGUCAAAUUAAAUUUUCUCAGACUUUUGGUUUUUACCUUUAGAUUUUCUUAUUCUGUGGAUAUUUGGUGAAUACACACACACACACACACACACACACACACACCCCACAUAGAGAGAAAACUAGAGACUAGGAUAGAACGAAAAAAUAGGAAACAUAUUGUAUGCCUGGAGAAACAAACAAUAUGAUUUAAGAACAGAGUAAAAUCCUAGCAUUUUUAAGAGAAUAUAACCUAAGAUCUUAGUGAAUCCCCAAGGAAAAAAGACAAAAAUAUUUAUAUAAGGUUUGACUUUCUCCCCAACACUACUGCAGUGGAACACUGAGUCCUAUGUUCCUAUGAAUAUCUUCGUGCUUGUAUAACCAGAGAUAUCUUCUGUUGCCAAACUAUAUUCCACUAGAUUCGUUUAGUUCCUACGCUCCCAAGAGACCCAGAAGUGUAACUGAUUCAAGUCUUCUUUAAUCCUUCCGUGUCCUUACAAGAAAAAUCCUCCAUUACUUUGGAUAAACCGAAGAAGUCUCUAUCUCAGCAGUGAAAACAGCCUCCCAUACCUGCUGGACGGAGUUCUGCACCAGGCCAGCAGGAACUGCUUAUCUGCUCACCUCUUCAUGCCCAAUGCCUAUCACAGUGCCUGGCAGAUAAAGGUGCUGAGUAAAUACCUGCAGAAUGCAUCAAUAAACUCUGCAAGGAAACAGAGCAAGUCUCCCUCUCCCCAUUAAUUUUGUUGCUGUAUUGAGUGUGGAUGCUGGGCACUGGAAUUGUAAGAGAGUCCCUGCCCUUGAAGAGCUUAUUAAGUCUAGUUGUAUUUUCAAAUACAAUGGCUUCAAAGACUUACACCCUGCAAGUAGCUACCUAAUUUAGAAAUACCGCAGGUGAAAGAGAAAUCCAGUAGAAGACUAAAAAACCUAAGAUAAUCUAUGAAACUAAAAGGUUGAUAGCAGUACACACAGUUUGCAUCUCUGAGCAUACUCCUGGGAGGGAAACUCCAAGUUAAAGAAACAAGAGCCCUGAGCUGUGAUCUGCAGUCAUAAACACACACACACACACACACACACACACACACACACACACACACACACACACACAUACACACACCCCGAGCAAACAAAAAUAAAAAACAAACUACCCUAUCUACACUGGAGCUGUGUUAGUUAAAUUAGCCUUUUGCAGAAAAGUGUUCGUAUACCCUAAGUGAAAUAUACACAAUAAUCUUGGAUUCAGCUGAAUAAUUUUAGCAUCCUUAUCCGCCCAUUAAUCACCUUUUCUAGCAACAAACACUUUCUGAAUCUGUUAACUGUCUAAAUAAAAUAUUCUAGAAACUGUGUAAAUUGAAACCAUGUAAGAUAAUUAUUUUUGACAGAGUAAAUAUUUAGUGCAGAAUAAAUGAAUUUC